UAAGGGCGCACGGUGGAUGCCUUGGCACUAGAAGCCGAUGAAGGACGUUACUAACGACGAUAUGCUUUGGGGAGCUGUAAGUAAGCUUUGAUCCAGAGAUUUCCGAAUGGGGAAACCCAGCAUGAGUUAUGUCAUGUUAUCGAUAUGUGAAUACAUAGCAUAUCAGAAGGCACACCCGGAGAACUGAAACAUCUUAGUACCCGGAGGAAGAGAAAGAAAAUUCGAUUCCCUUAGUAGCGGCGAGCGAAACGGGAAGAGCCCAAACCAACAAGCUUGCUUGUUGGGGUUGUAGGACACUCUAUACGGAGUUACAAAGGACGACAUUAGACGAAUCAUCUGGAAAGAUGAAUCAAAGAAGGUAAUAAUCCUGUAGUCGAAAAUGUUGUCUCUCUUGAGUGGAUCCUGAGUACGACGGAGCACGUGAAAUUCCGUCGGAAUCUGGGAGGACCAUCUCCUAAGGCUAAAUACUCUCUAGUGACCGAUAGUGAACCAGUACCGUGAGGGAAAGGUGAAAAGCACCCCGGAAGGGGAGUGAAAUAGAACCUGAAACCGUGUGCUUACAAGUAGUCAGAGCCCGUUAAUGGGUGAUGGCGUGCCUUUUGUAGAAUGAACCGGCGAGUUACGAUUUGAUGCAAGGUUAAGCAGUAAAUGUGGAGCCGUAGCGAAAGCGAGUCUGAAUAGGGCGUUUAGUAUUUGGUCGUAGACCCGAAACCAGGUGAUCUACCCUUGGUCAGGUUGAAGUUCAGGUAACACUGAAUGGAGGACCGAACCGACUUACGUUGAAAAGUGAGCGGAUGAACUGAGGGUAGCGGAGAAAUUCCAAUCGAACCUGGAGAUAGCUGGUUCUCUCCGAAAUAGCUUUAGGGCUAGCCUCAAGUGAUGAUUAUUGGAGGUAGAGCACUGUUUGGACGAGGGGCCCCUCUCGGGUUACCGAAUUCAGACAAACUCCGAAUGCCAAUUAAUUUAACUUGGGAGUCAGAACAUGGGUGAUAAGGUCCGUGUUCGAAAGGGAAACAGCCCAGACCACCAGCUAAGGUCCCAAAAUAUAUGUUAAGUGGAAAAGGAUGUGGCGUUGCCCAGACAACUAGGAUGUUGGCUUAGAAGCAGCCAUCAUUUAAAGAGUGCGUAAUAGCUCACUAGUCGAGUGACACUGCGCCGAAAAUGUACCGGGGCUAAACAUAUUACCGAAGCUGUGGAUUGUCCUUUGGACAAUGGUAGGA
rnacentral:rRNA from 1 species